rnacentral:rRNA from 1 species
UUCGCGUGUAGCAGUGAAAUGCGUAGAGAUGUGGAGGAAUACCGAUGGCGAAGGCAGCCCCCUGGGCCAAUACUGACGCUCAUGCACGAAAGCGUGGGGAGCAAACAGGAUUAGAUACCCUGGUAGUCCACGCCCUAAACGAUGUCAACUAGUUGUCGGGUCUUCAUUGACUUGGUAACGUAGCUAACGCGUGAAGUUGACCGCCUGGGGAGUACGGUCGCAAGAUUAAAACUCAAAGGAAUUGACGGGGACCCGCACAAGCGGUGGAUGGUGUGGAUUAAUUCGAUGCAACGCGAAAAACCUUACCUACCCUUGACAUGUCUGGAAUCCUGUAGAGAUGCGAGAGUGCCUUCGGGAAUCAGAACACAGGUGCUGCAUGGCUGUCGUCAGCU